GGGCGCAGCCUGAUCUAGCCAUGCCGCGUGUGUGAUGAAGGUCUUAGGAUCGUAAAGCACUUUCGCCAGGGAUGAUAAUGACAGUACCUGGUAAAGAAACCCCGGCUAACUCCGUGCCAGCAGCCGCGGUAAUACGGAGGGGGUUAGCGUUGUUCGGAAUUACUGGGCGUAAAGCGUACGUAGGCGGAUUGGAAAGUUGGGGGUGAAAUCCCAGGGCUCAACCCUGGAACUGCCUCCAAAACUAUCAGUCUAGAGUUCGAGAGAGGUGAGUGGAAUUCCAAGUGUAGAGGUGAAAUUCGUAGAUAUUUGGAGGAACACCAGUGGCGAAGGCGGCUCACUGGCUCGAUACUGACGCUGAGGUACGAAAGUGUGGGGAGCAAACAGGAUUAGAUACCCUGGUAGUCCACACCGUAAACGAUGAAUGCCAGUCGUCGGGCAGUAUACUGUUCGGUGACACACCUAACGGAUUAAGCAUUCCGCCUGGGGAGUACGGUCGCAAGAUUAAAACUCAAA
rnacentral:rRNA from 1 species